rnacentral:rRNA from 1 species
GUCACUUGCCCUUUAAUUGUGGGCUGGRAUGAAGGGAAGGACCGAGRSUUUGGCUGUCUCCUUUCUAUUUUUUGAACUUGCUGUCUGUGUGAAGAAGCAUUGUUGGUGAAGAGGGACGAGAAGACCCUGUUAAGCUUUACUUUUGCUUGGUGGUUCUUUGGUGUUUAUGUUGUAUAUUAGGGCUGUUCGUAAAAAGUUUGGUUGGGGUGACCAAAGAAGAUGUGAAUCUUCUUUUUUGUUUUUACUUUCUGUUCAAUUUUGAUCCAAGAUUUUUUGAUUUAAGGAACUAGUUACUACAGGGAUAACAGCGUAAUUUUUUCAUAAAGUUCUUAUUGAAGAGGGAGAUUGCGACCUCGAUGUUGACUUGUUA